rnacentral:rRNA from 1 species
UACGUAGGGGGCUAGCGUUGUCCGGAUUCAUUGGGCGUAAAGAGCGCGCAGGCGGCUUGGUAAGUCGGAUGUGAAAACCCGAGGCUCAACCUCGGACGUGCAUCCGAAACUGCCCGGCUAGAGGUAGGUAGGGGAGAUCGGAAUUCCUGGUGUAGCGGUGAAAUGCGCAGAUAUCGGGAGGAACACCGAUGGCGAAGGCAGCCCCCUGGGCUGACACUGACGCUCAGGCACGAAAGCGUGGGGAGCAAACAGG